UACGAAGGGGGCUAGCGUUGUUCGGAAUCACUGGGCGUAAAGCGCACGUAGGCGGAUCUUUAAGUCAGGGGUGAAAUCCCGAGGCUCAACCUCGGAACUGCCUUUGAUACUGGGGAUCUCGAGUCCGGGAGAGGUGAGUGGAACUGCGAGUGUAGAGGUGAAAUUCGUAGAUAUUGGGAGGAACACCAGUGGCGAAGGCGGCUCACUGGACCGGAACUGACGCUGAGGCGCGAAAGCGUGGGGAGCAAACAGG
rnacentral:rRNA from 1 species